CAGUUGGCUGGUCAGCCCCACAUCGCUGCAGCCAGGAAAACACAUUCAUAUCAGACCCAAAGCAAGAGGAAGUAAAGGGAGAGGGGGUAGGAACCAGGCGUAGCGCCACCAUCAACGGCCAAUGGGAGCUCAGGGAAAAGACGCAUUUCAAAGUGUGAGCUCAACACAUUUGAGCAGCCCUCCAGCGUGUCCUGGAGGCUGCAGAGCUCCGACUCCAGCCCGGCCCGGUCCCUGGCCACGCAGUCCAGCUGCUUGCGGAGGGUGCAGAUGUAGGCGUCGAAGAUGGGCUCCAUGCUCCUCUGGCAGCACCUCUGCUGCUGCAUGAACUGCCACUUGGUCUCCAGCAGCUUAUUCUUCUGCUCCAGGAACCGGACCUGCAGCCAAGAACAGGAUGUCACUGGGCAGCGGGUUCCCUGGGGACCAUGGCUUGG